GCCCGCGUGGCUCAGUGGUUGAGCAUCGACCUGUGAACCGGAAGGUCAGGGUUCGAUUCCCGGUCAGGGCA
rnacentral:tRNA from 1 species